GUCUACAGCCAUGCCACCCUGAACAAGCCUGAUGUCUGAUCUUGGAAGCUAAGCUGAGUUGGGCCUGGAUAGAACUUGGAUGGAAGACCACCUACGAAGACCAGGUGCUGUAGGCA
rnacentral:rRNA from 1 species